CAGGGGGUAGUCUAAUUUAGGAUCUUAGCUUUGGGAGUUAAGGGUGGGAGUUAAAAUCUUCUCCCCCUGA
rnacentral:tRNA from 1 species